rnacentral:rRNA from 1 species
UCGGCAAUGGGCGAAAGCCUGACCGAGCGACGCCGCGUGCGGGAUGAAGGUCUUCGGAUUGUAAACCGCUGUCAGAGGGGAUGAAGUCAUAGAGGGAACUCCCUUUAUGUUGACAGAGCCUCAGAGGAAGCACGGGCUAAGUAUGUGCCAGCAGCCGCGGUAAUACAUACUGUGCGAACGUUAUUCGGAUUCACUGGGCUUAAAGGGUGCGUAGGCGGCUUGUUAAGUAGGGUGUGAAAGCCCCCAGCUCAACUGGGGAACUGCACUCUAUACUGGCGAGCUAGAGUGAGAUAGGGGUGUGUGGAACUGCCAGUGGAGCGGUGAAAUGUGUUGAUAUUGGCAGGAACGCCGGUGGCGAAAGCGACACACUGGGUCUCAACUGACGCUGAGGCACGAAAGCCAGGGGAGCGAACGGGAUUAGAUACCCCGGUAGUCCUAGCCCUAAACUAUGGGUACUAGAUUGUGGACUUUCAUGGGUUCACAGUCGAAGCAAAAGUGUUAAGUACCCCGCCUGGGGAGUAUGGUCGCAAGGCUGAAACUCAAAGGA